GACCACCACCGCCCCACCACCACCACCACCACCACCUCCUCCUCCUGGUUCUCCUCGGCGUGUCGUUUCGGCUGACAGGUUCCAGAGGCGCACCUCACGAUAUGUUCCGCGGGCGUAGCAGCAGCGGCACCCGCGGCUUAGUCAGGCCUGUGGUGUGUCUUUUCUCCACCCCGGACUCGUGCUUGGACGUUGGGGCGGUAAAGGCGGAGUCCUCGGUGCCCCUCCACUGCCUCCCUGAGAACGAAGCCCUCCUUCCUCUCUGGUGUUUUUUUUUUUUUCGCGGAGAGUGUCUAAUCAUGUGAGGACCGGCUCGUCACCAUCAUGAUAUGAAAGCUUGUGACACGCCACAUCCCGGCGUUUUACUUUACAAGCAGUCACACCCCCACAUAAGUACACAAAUCAUAUAUAAAUCUAACAUUUCGUGCUUCUUCUCGCGAUACUUUGAACAGCAUUGUUAGCCCAGUUUAAAUUAAUACAACUCAUUGCAGCCGGUUUAAAAAACAAGAGCAGAAACUUUUCAGCACCAAGGACAGUGGCUCGAAUGACUUCAACGUCUCUGACAUGUUUUAAAGAUAUUUGUUUGUGAUUUUAAAAAAAUGCCAUGCUUUUUAUGUGGACGAAAUAACCAUUUGCUGUUGAAUAUGGACACUUUCAGCCAAACAUUUGUCAAAAAAUAAAUAAAUCUGACCCAG